GGUAGCCGGCCUGAGAGGGUGAACGGCCACAAGGGGACUGAGACACGGCCCUUACUCCUACGGGAGGCAGCAGUGGGGAAUAUUGGACAAUGGACCAAAAGUCUGAUCCAGCAAUUCUGUGUGCACGAUGAAGUUUUUCGGAAUGUAAAGUGCUUUCAGUUGGGACGAAGUAAGUGACGGUACCAACAGAAGAAGCGACGGCUAAAUACGUGCCAGCAGCCGCGGUAAUACGUAUGUCGCAAGCGUUAUCCGGAUUUAUUGGGCGUAAAGCGCGUCUAGGCGGUUUGGUAAGUCUGAUGUGAAAAUGCGGGGCUCAACUCCGUAUUGCGUUGGAAACUGCCAAACUAGAGUACUGGAGAGGUGGGCGGAACUACAAGUGUAGAGGUGAAAUUCGUAGAUAUUUGUAGGAAUGCCGAUGGGGAAGCCAGCCCACUGGACAGAUACUGACGCUAAAGCGCGAAAGCGUGGGUAGCAAACAGGAUUAGAUACCCUGGUAGUCCACGCCGUAAACGAUGAUUACUAGGUGUUGGGGGUCGAACCUCAGCGCCCA
rnacentral:rRNA from 1 species